rnacentral:rRNA from 1 species
UCGAAGGUGGGAUCGGCGAUUGGGACGAAGUCGUAACAAGGUAGCCGUACCGGAAGGUGCGGCUGGAUCACCUCCUUUCUAAGGAGCA